AACGAACGCUGGCGGCAUGCCUAACACAUGCAAGUCGAACGAAACCUUCGGGUCUAGUGGCGCACGGGUGCGUAACGCGUGGGAACCUGCCCUUAGGUUCGGAAUAACUCCCCGAAAGGGGUGCUAAUACCGGAUAAUGUCUUAGGACCAAAGAUUUAUCGCCUUUGGAUGGGCCCGCGUUGGAUUAGCUAGUUGGUAGGGUAAAAGCCUACCAAGGCGACGAUCCAUAGCUGGUCUGAGAGGAUGAUCAGCCACACUGGGACUGAGACACGGCCCAGACUCCUACGGGAGGCAGCAGUGGGGAAUAUUGGACAAUGGGCGAAGGCCUGAUCCAGCAAUGCCGCGUGAGUGAUGAAGGCCUUAGGGUUGUAAAGCUCUUUUACCCGGGAUGAUAAUGACAGUACCGGGAGAAUAAGCUCCGGCUAACUCCGUG
rnacentral:rRNA from 1 species